rnacentral:rRNA from 1 species
UACGGAGGGGGCUAGCGUUGUUCGGAAUUACUGGGCGUAAAGCGCACGUAGGCGGCUUUGUACGUUAGAGGUGAAAGCCCGGAGCUCAACUCCGGAACUGCCUUUAAGACUGCAUCGCUUGAACGUCGGAGAGGUAAGUGGAAUUCCGAGUGUAGAGGUGAAAUUCGUAGAUAUUCGGAAGAACACCAGUGGCGAAGGCGACUUACUGGACGACUGUUGACGCUGAGGUGCGAAAGCGUGGGGAGCAAACAGG